GAUGAACGCUAGCGGCAGGCUUAACACAUGCAAGUCGAGGGGUAAGAGAAGCUUGCUUUUCUGAGACCGGCGCACGGGUGCGUAACGCGUAUGCAAUCUACCUUUCACAAAGGGAUAGCCCAGAGAAAUUUGGAUUAAUACCUUAUAGUAUAUCGAGUUGGCAUCAACAUGAUAUUAAAGAUUUAUCGGUGAAAGAUGAGCAUGCGUCCCAUUAGCUAGUUGGUAUGGUAACGGCAUACCAAGGCUACGAUGGGUAGGGGUCCUGAGAGGGAGAUCCCCCACACUGGUACUGAGACACGGACCAGACUCCUACGGGAGGCAGCAGUGAGGAAUAUUGGACAAUGGGCGCAAGCCUGAUCCAGCCAUGCCGCGUGCAGGAUGACGGUCCUAUGGAUUGUAAACUGCUUUUAUACAGGAAGAAACACC
rnacentral:rRNA from 1 species